UACCCUAAUCCACGACGGCCGCCGCCUCCCACCCCAACUCGUCGCUGGCCGUCGCCUCUAGUUCCACCUGCGCCGAGCGAGGCUGGGCGCCGUACGUAGGGGCGCACCUCGCCAUCGAGAGGAUCUGAGGCCGUACGUCUGGAUCUUCGAUCUGCCCUUGUCGACACCAACAUGAUCGAUCUCCACCUGUUCUCCUCGAUCUCUAGUCACCACCCUCCCCUUGGACUUAGAUGAAGCUAGUUGGUGACAAAGCAUUCCUCAUUCCUUGAGCAAGAAGUGAAUGGAAGUGAUGCGUACUUAAAAUGACAUCAUAAGAGAAUCAAUGGUGAGACAAUGAGAACGGUGCAUCUGAAGACAAUACCUGCGAAUGAUGAUGGGAUCGAAUGAUAAAGGAAUUGUCCACUGCACCUCCAAUCACAUAUUUAUAGAUUGAGUGUUAUAAUUUUGAUAGAAACUAAGAUGUUAGUUCUGUUUGAAAUACUUAGUUAUUUAGUUGGAUGUUCCAAACAAAUUAUUAUUAUGUAUUUCAAUUGAAUAAAUUUGGUUGGUUGUGUCAGAAUAUAUGGUGAUAAGCAUGCAUGUUAAUUCCUA